rnacentral:rRNA from 1 species
UCCUACGGGAGGCAGCAGUAGGGAAUCUUGCGCAAUGGGCGAAAGCCUGACGCAGCCAUGCCGCGUGAAUGAUGAAGGUCUUAGGAUUGUAAAAUUCUUUCACCGGGGACGAUAAUGACGGUACCCGGAGAAGAAGCCCCGGCUAACUUCGUGCCAGCACCCGCGGUAAUA